rnacentral:rRNA from 1 species
GCUAGUAAUGGCAGGUCAGCAUACUGCCGNGAAUACGUUCCCGGGCCUUGUACACACCGCCCGUCACACCAUGAGAGUUGGAAAUACCCGAAGCCUGUGAGCUAACAGUAAUGAGGNAGCAGUCGAAAGGGUAGAGCCAAUGAUUGGGGGUGAAGUCGUAACAAGGUAUC